rnacentral:rRNA from 1 species
GACGAACGCUGGCGGCGUGCUUAACACAUGCAAGUCGAACGGAAAGGCCCUGCUUUUGUGGGGUGCUCGAGUGGCGAACGGGGGAGUAACACGUGAGUAACCUGCCCUUGACUUUGGGAUAACUUCAGGAAACUGGGGCUAAUACCGGAUAGGAGCUCCUGCUGCAUGGGGGGGGUUGGAAAGUUUCGGCGGUGGGGGAUGGACUCGCGGCUUAUCAGCUUGUUGGUGGGGUAGGGGCUUACCAAGGCUUUGACGGGUAGCCGGCCUGAGAGGGUGAUCGGCCCCACGGGAACGGAGACACGGUCCAGGCUCCUACGGGAGGCAGCAGUCGGGAAGCGGCGCCAAUGGGGGAGAGCCUGACGGAGCGGCGCCGCGUGUGUGAAGAAGGCCUGCGGGUCGUAAAGCUCUGUUGUUGGGAAAGAACAGAUGUGGGGGAAGACGUGGCGGUCUUGACGGUACCUAAAGAAGAAGCCACGGCUAACUACGUG